rnacentral:lncRNA from 1 species
GUAAAUUCUAUCCCUUUAAUUGACAAUUUUCAUGUAAAACAAAAUCAAACGAACACCAAAAAAUACUUUUAUUUCAACAUUUUCCACGUGAAAAAUUAUACCAAUCAAAUACAAUAAUUUACAAUUCCCAGGAAAACAAUUUCUAGGUAAUUCAAUUUCCUGUAAUUCGUUUUCUUUCCAUCCAAAUUCUAUCUUUACAAUCAAACAGACCCUUAAUGAAAAAACAAUAAAUUUUCACUCUAUUGUAAGUGUAAUAAUUAAUAAUCAAGGGAGCUAAAGUAGCAAAUAGAACUUCUAUUUGAGCAAUUGAAUUUAUGGCCUUACUCAUAGAUUUUAGUCAUUCUGUGUCUUCAAGAAUAGUACUUAACAUCA